rnacentral:rRNA from 1 species
GGACAACCUACCCUCGGGUCCGGCAUAAUCCUGGGAAACUGGGGAUAAUUCCGGAUAGAUCACAGAAGCUGGAAUGCUCUGUGGCCCAAAGCUCCGGCGCCCGAGGAUGGGUCUGCGGCCUAUCAGGGUUGUAGUGGGUGUAAUGUACCUACUAGCCUACGACGGGUACGGGUUGUGAGAGCAAGAGCCCGGAGAUGGAUUCUGAGACACGAAUCCAGGCCCUACGGGGUGCAGCAGGCGCGAAAACUUUACAAUGCGGGAAACCGUGAUAAGGGAAUCUCGAGUGCCAGCAUAUAAUGUUGGCUGUCCAGAUGCCUAAAAAGCAUCUGUUAGCAAGGGCCGGGCAAGACCGGUGCCAGCCGCCGCGGUAACACCGGCGGCCCGAGUGGUAACCGCUAUUAUUGGGUCUAAAGGGUCUGUAGCCGGCCAGGUAAGUCCCUUGGGAAAUCUGGCAGCUCAACUGUCAGGCUGCUAGGGGAUACUGUUUGGCUUGGGACCGGGAGAGGUGAGAGGUACCUUGGGGGUAGGGGUGAAAUCUUGUGAUCCUCGGGGGACCACCAGUGGCGAAGGCGUCUCACCAGAACGGGUCCGACGGUAAGGGACGAAAGCUAGGGGCACGAACCGGAUUAGAUACCCGGGUAGUCCUAGCCGUAAACGAUGCUCGCUAGGUGUCAGUCACGGUGCGACCGUGAUUGGUGCCGUAGGGAAGCCGUGAAGCGAGCCACCUGGGAAGUAUGGCCGCAAGGCUGAAACUUAA